UCUAUAUAUGGAAAGUUGCAA
rnacentral:sRNA from 1 species